rnacentral:misc_RNA from 1 species
GAUGAAGAACGUAGCGAAAUGCGAUAAGUAGUGUGAAUUGCAGAAUUCAGUGAAUCAUCGAAUCUUUGAACGCACAUUGCGCCCCUUGGUAUCCCGAGGGGCAUGCCUGUUCGAGCGUCAUUUCACCACUCAAGCCUGGCUUGGUGUUGGGCGACGUCCCCUUUGGGGACGCGCCUCGAAACGCUCGGCGGCGUGGCACCGGCUUUAAGCGUAGCAGAAUCUUUCGCUUUGGAAGUCGGGGCCCCGUCUGCCGGAAGACCUACUCGCAAGGUUGACCUCGGAUCAGGCAGGGAUACCCGCUGAACUUAAGCAUAUAAUAAGCGGAGGA